rnacentral:misc_RNA from 1 species
GAAAUGCGAUAAGUAGUGUGAAUUGCAGAAUUCAGUGAAUCAUCGAAUCUUUGAACGCACAUUGCGCCCCUUGGUAUUCCAUGGGGCAUGCCUGUUCGAGCGUCAUUUGUACCCUCAAGCUUUGCUUGGUGUUGGGUGUUUGUCCCGUCUCCGCGCGUGGACUCGCCCCAAAGUGAUUGGCAGCCGGCGUACUGGUCCCGGAGCGCAGCACAUGUCGCGCAAACGAGUGCCUUGGUACGGCGGCGUCCAUAAGCCCCUCUCUCACGCUCUUGACCUCGGAUCAGGUAGGGAUACCCGCUGAACUUAAGC